GUGAACGCUGGCGGCGUGCCUAAUACAUGCAAGUCGAACGACCCGCUUCAAUAGCGGGAGUGGCAAACGGGUGAGUAAUACGUAGGAACCUGCCCUUAAGAGGGGGAUAGCUCGUCGAAAGACGGAUUAAUACCCCAUAAUUUCCGCUUGCGGAUAAAGGAGCAAUCCGCUUAAGGAGGGGCCUGCGUCCGAUUAGCUUGUUGGCAGGGUAACGGCCUACCAAGGCGAUGAUCGGUAGCUGGUCUGAGAGGACGACCAGCCACACUGGGACUGAGACACGGCCCAGACUCCUACGGGAGGCAGCAGUAGGGAAUUUUCCACAAUGGGCGAAAGCCUGAUGGAGCGACGCCGCGUGCAGGAUGAAGGCCUUCGGGUCGUAAACUGCUUUUAACAGGGAAGAUUAUGACGGUACCUGUUGAAUAAGGAUUUGCUAACUCCGUGCCAGCAGCCGCGGUCAUACGGAGGAUCCAAGCGUUACCCGGAAUUACUGGGCGUAAAGAGUUGCGUAGGCGGUUCGUUAAGUUUUUGUUUAAAGCCCGAGGCUCAACUUCGGGAAUGUGCAAAAAAACUGGCGGACUAGAGGAUGACAGAGGCGAGUGGAAUUUUCAGUGUAGGAGUGAAAUCCGUAGAUACUGAAAGGAACACCGAUGGCGUAAGCAGCUCGCUGGGUCAUUCCUGACGCUAAGGCACGAAAGCGUGGGUAGCGAACCGGAUUAGAUACCCGGGUAGUCCACGCCGUAAAUGAUGGAUGCUAGCUGUUGGAGGUAUCGACCCCUUCGGUAGCGAAGCUAACGCGUUAAGCAUCCCGCCUGGGGAGUACGAGCGCAAGCUUAAAACUCAAAGGAAUUGACGGGGAUCCGCACAAGCGGUGGAGCGUGUGGUUUAAUUCGAUGGCACGCGAAGAACCUUACCAGGGCUUGACAUCCUCGGAAUCCCGUCGAAAGUCGGGAGUGCCCGCAAGGGAAUCGAGAGACAGGUGAUGCAUGGCCGUCGUCAGCUCGUGUCGUGAGGUGUAGGGUUAAGUCCCUCAACGAGUGCAACCCUCGUCGCAAGUUAAAUUGUCUUGUGAGACUGCCCCGGCAACGGGGAGGAAGGAGAGGAUGACGUCUGGUCCGCAUUUCCCUUACGCUCUGGGCCACACACACGCUACAAUGGCCGGUACAAUGGGUUGCUAAGUCGCAAGACGGAGCUAAUCCUAUCAAAACCGGUCCCAGUUCGGAUUGCAGGCUGCAACUCGCCUGCAUGAAGUCGGAAUCGCUAGUAACCGUAGGUCAGCACACUACGGUGAAUACGUUCCCGGGUCUUGUACACACCGCCCGUCAAAGCACGAAAGUUGGCAAUACCUGAAGCUCGAUCUUGUAUCGGACCAAGGUAGGGCCAGCGAUUGGGCUU
rnacentral:rRNA from 1 species